UUGACACGUCUGUAAAUGUGGCCGUGAAUGUUGACGUAGCGUGGCAUGUGUGUUUUCAGCUGUCCUCCACACCCCCCGUCCGCAGAGCUGCUUCCUGUGUGGAGGGCGAGGGGGGCUGCCAGUGUUUAUGCCCUGCUGAGGCUGCGGUGUAUUUGUUUGCUCCAGGAUCCCGCAGAGCAUUUGCUCACUCCUUGAACAAUAAACAUUGGUGAUUGCUGACGAAGGCCCUGGUCCCAGCUUCUCCGAACUCCGGUGAUUUAGAGGUGCCCAGCGGUCUACCGAUGUAUCCCUGCCCAUCGCACAGAGACAAAGGCCUUUAUUAACUCCCCAGAGCCACGUGGAGAACGUUUAAUGAUGGAUGGACACACUUUUUUGGGCUUCAAAAUCUUGACAACUAUCCACUGCCAUUAUAAAGCUUAGAAGAGCUCUGACUGUAUUCAUCCGAAAGAAGAAAGUCAUUUACACAGAGGAUGGCUUCAGGAAAAUAGAAGUUAUGAUGAAGAAUGAAGGAAACCAAACCAUUUCAGUUCCCAUUGACUUUCAUGGUAUUUUUGUCAGUGGAAGUAAAAAAAAAAACUUGCUCAGAAGAAAGAAAUGCAUACAGGUUUGAUACGACAUGAGGAUCUCCGCCAGAUCUCCAGCGGUUGAACUCUUGUGUGAAGUGCACAGCACAGUGACGGAUGGCACUCACCACAGAAUGAGGCAAGGUUAAAAAUACGGAAAUGUGGACGGUUCCUCGGCAAGCAGCCCGUCCACCAGCUGCUCUCUCAGCCCAUCAAUGUCUCCAAACCUCAGCCCCAGACCCUGCCACGAACUCCAGCUUCAACCCAGAGACACUCCCCGACCAGCCAGUGUUAUUCACAACAACGUUUCCAUCCAUCUCACCAUCAAAAAUGACUGAAAGCAGAAAAACCGAGGGGAACAUUACAGCAGUCUGUCCUUACAGCACAAGAAACUCAUACGACUAGAAGACAAAGAACAAGUGUUCAAGAAGUACAUAAAUCAUAUCUCCAGGAACUCAAAAUCCUGACGUGUUUUGGUCUAGUAUUCGUGUUUCAAUGAUUAUUAGAUAAAUUGUUAAAUUGAGUAAAAAUACAGUUUAUAGGGAUCAGGGUCAUGAAACUGUUUAUUAGAAACAGCUAUUUUGUUCACAUAUUUGGGGACUAAUUCUCACUUUUGCCUCAGUAAACUCCUAAUUUGCUGCGUAUUCAUAGAUAUUAAGGUAGUCGUUAAAUUUGGGUAUGGAAUGGAUUAAGGGAUCUUAAAUAUUAUUAUGCCGCAUAAUCCAUUAGUAUGUGCUUUAUAAAUACUAAUAAAAAGCCAAUAUGCAUGUUGAUAAACAACUGGUGAGAUAGUUUUUUUAAAUUAAUAUUUAUAAGUUUUAAUUUAAAAAUGUAAAAAUAUGUCACUUUCAUUCAUUUUGAUUAAAAUGUUAGGUUUAGUAAAAGUGAAGUCAAACUGAAUGAUUAUAAUUUUUUUAUUAAUUUUUGUAUUUAUUUUAUUCCAGCUAAUGUUUAAGUAAU